rnacentral:rRNA from 1 species
UACGUAGGGUGCAAGCGUUAAUCGGAAUUACUGGGCGUAAAGGGCGCGUAGGCGGUUCGUUAAGUCCUGUGUGAAAUCCCCCGGCUCAACUGGGGAACUGCACAGGAAACUAGCGGGCUUGAGUUCGGGAGAGGGAAGCGGGAUUCCGGGUGUAGCGGUGAAAUGCGUAGAUAUCCGGAGGAACACCGGUGGCGAAGGCGGCUUCCUGGACCGACACUGACGCUGAGGCGCGAAAGCUAGGGGAGCAAACGGG